rnacentral:tRNA from 2 species
GGAGAGGUGGCAGAGCGGUUGAAUGCGGCGGUCUCGAAAACCGUUGUGCGCCGCAAGGCGUACCGAGGGUUCGAAUCCCUCCCUCUCCG